rnacentral:rRNA from 1 species
CCUACGGGUGGCUGCAGUGGGGAAUAUUGGACAAUGGGCGAAAGCCUGAUCCAGCCAUGCCGCGUGUGUGAAGAAGGCCUUCGGGUUGUAAAGCACUAUCAGAGGGGAAGAAAGCCUUGGGGCUAAUACCCUCGAGGAAGGACAUCACCCACAGAAGAAGCACCGGCUAACUCCGUGCCAGCAGCCGCGGUAAUACGGAGGGUGCGAGCGUUAAUCGGAAUUACUGGGCGUAAAGCGCGCGUAGGCGGUCUGAUAAGCCGGUUGUGAAAGCCCCGGGCUCAACCUGGGAACGGCAUCCGGAACUGUCAGGCUAGAGUGCAGGAGAGGAAGGUAGAAUUCCCGGUGUAGCGGUGAAAUGCGUAGAGAUCGGGAGGAAUACCAGUGGCGAAGGCGGCCUUCUGGACUGACACUGACGCUGAGGUGCGAAAGCGUGGGUAGCAAACAGGAUUAGAUACCCGGGUAGUC